CUCCGGGCCAUGUGAUCACACAGGAGCUCCUGAUAAGAGUGGGGGCGCACCAGGAAUGGGAUCGAGUGGAACCCAGAGUCUGGACUGGAGUGGUACAGCAGGGCAGGCAGCAGCGUGAGCUCUGUCCCUGAUGAAGGGCUUUGCCCGAAACGUGGACUUUUCCUCCUCUUCAGAUGCGUGACCCCAGUGGAGACCUCCAGGCCACAGUGAGGCGCUGCAAUGGGAGGACUCAGUGUGGAGUACUCCCACUGACAACAUACAAACUCCACACAGACCAUCGCCUGAGGCUGCAAUCAAACCUGGGACCCUGGCACUGUGAGGCUGCAAUGCUAACCACUGAGCCACCGUGUCACCUCAUGGGCAGAGCCAACAGGGCCAGCCUAGGCAGCCUUGUUUCGAGACAAAAAACUGCAGAUGCUGGAAUCCAAAGUAGACAGGCAGGAGGCUGGAAGAACACAGCAGGCCAGGCAGCAUCAGGAGAUUUCCAGCAUCUGUGGUUCUUUGCUUCAAAUAGGAAGGAUACAUCACCUGACCACCCCACAAUGCGCUGGAAGAGCUUUCUAUACUGGGAUGAAACUGCCUUCAAUUGUAAAACUUCACCUGGAUGGUUAAUGUUCUUUUGGGAUGGGCAUCUGUCAUCUUACCUGAUCUGACCUACAUGCAGCUCCACAAAACCAUAAGUGGGAACAGAAGCAGGCCAUUCGGCCCCUCGAGCCAGCUCCACUACUCGACAGGAUCAUGGCUGAUCCACAUUACUGACAUCCACCUUCUGGCCCUCUCCCCGUUACCCUUAAUCCCCUGUCUGAGCAAGAAUGUCCCUACCUCAGCCUUAAAUAUACACAAGGGUUCUGACCCCACAGCUCUCUGUAAAAGGAGUUCCAAAGACUCACAACUCUCUGAGAGAAGAGUUUCCUCCCCAUCUCAGUCUUAAAUUGAUGCCCCUUUAUUCUGAGACUGUGCCCUCUGGUCUUGACUCAGCCAUGAGGGGAAACACCCUCUCAGCACUUCCCCUCUCAAACCCCUUCAGAAUCGUAUGUGUUUCAAAGAGAUCAUUAAUGUCCUUCAGGGAAGGAAGUCUGCCAUACUUCUCUGGUCUGACCUCCAUGUGACUCCAGACCCACAGCAAUGGGAUUGACCCUUAACUGUCCUUCAAUCAGGCAAUUAGAGAUAAGCCUCACCACUGAUAUGCGAUGAAAGAGUGAAUGGUUUCUGUUGUUUUGCACAUUCAGUCAUCAAGAAGGUGGUGGGGAUCUGGAACUCACUGCCUGUAAGGGUGGUAGAGCCUUAAACCCCAUAACUUCUGGCAUAUGUCACUUGCAAUACCAGGCCAUACAAGGCCAUGCACUGAGAGCUGGAAAGUGGGAUCAGAAUAGUUAAGUUCUUGUUUUUGUUGGCGCAGACUCGAUGGGCCGACGGGCUUUUUUUCAUGUCCAUUUGUCCAUCCGGACUGUAAUGUGGCUCUAAGUGGAUACACCCUUAUCAGAUCUGCAUUCCUCCAAUACCAGCCUCUGGCUCAUCCUUGAUUUUUCUCAUUUUGCCACUGGCAGUCAUGUCUUCAGCUGCCUGGACUCCUGAACGUUGGAGCUCCUUCCCUGAUCCUCUCAGGGGAAGAACCUCCUCAAAGCAAGUCACUUUGACCAAGGGUGGCACAUCAGCCACUGGGUGGCACAGUGACAGAGUGGUUAGCACUGCUGCCUCACAGUGCCAGGGACCUGGUUUCGAUUCCACCCUUGGAUGACUGUGCGUGAGGAGUUUGCACAUUGUAGGAUAAAAGGCUGCACAACAUCGAGGGCCGAAGGGCCUGUGCUUUACUAUUCUAUGUGUAAUUGUCCCUGUGUCUGUAGGGUUUUCUCCCAUAGUUCAGUGAUGUGCGGGUAGGUGGAUUUACCAUGGGAAAUGCAGGGCUAUGGAACUGGGGCUGGGUGAGACACUUGUUGGAGGGUCAGUGUAGACUUGAUGGGCCGAACAGCCUGUUUCCACAUUGUUACAGAUUCUAACCUCAUGGUUCCUGUAGCAAUGUCUUAUGUGGCUCAGCACUGAGUUAUGCUUGUUGACUCACUUGCAUAUGUUUUGGGAUGCUUUUCUGUAUUGGGGUGGCUAUAUAACUGUAAAUUUCUGUUGAAACACAUGACAGAAUUAUCUCGGAAGGGACCCUGAUAAAUUCAUUCUAGUUUAGCCUCGCCCCUACUGAACUCAUUAUCGGCCACCGAAAAGUGGGUUGAGUUGGUCACAUAUUAGACCAGUAAGUACGAAUAUCCAUUGAUAAUUGGACUAGCAUAAAAAAUGAAUGAAGCAUUUUGGAGGUUUAAAUGUGAAGUACUUCAAACAGGAUAUUUCAUGGAGACUCAGGGUUGUGGAGCAGUAAUGGCAGUUGUUAUUUAAUCAAUUGAUUAUUCAAUAAAAUUACUAAAGUGCCAUUUAUUUUCAGUCAUGGUGUAGCUAAGUUGAUGGAGAAUAUAAAAGAGUGAGGACUGAUUUGCUUAAUGUGGUUUGAGCUGUAUCUUUUAAAGCUGAGAUGCACAAGAAUUAAAAAUCAUGGACAAA